rnacentral:misc_RNA from 1 species
UGAUGCACACAAAAUACAAGUCAGAAGCAUUCUCAUAUGCAGUACUUGCAAAUCAUGUAUAAAGAGAUUAUAGUGCUUUUUAAGGGGAUUUUGCAAUUGCAAAAUCUGAAUUUUCAGAGAACCAGCAAUAAGGGUAGGAUUACUGCGAAUAUUUCUCACAUUCCAUUCCAAAAAAUUACCAAAAUUCCAUCUUCAACCAUUUAUGCUCGAAUUUUUUCGAAUGUUUUAGCCACACGAGUAUCCUUAGGACUUGAAUCUACUUAUUCUUUGAUAAAGGAUGACAAAAUGGAAUAAUACCCUUCUUUAAUUCCUUUAAACUAUAAUUUCCUAAUAGAUCGUUGCUUCCUAGCAUAUGAAACAGUAUCAGAUUCAGAUCCUCCCUCAAAUUGGUGAAAACAAAAUACAUCUUCUGCACAAUCUGAAAGAUUUUUCUAUAAAUUUAAUAUUUUUAAUAAGUAGGCCGUAAUUAUUUUAGAUGAUAAAAUUUUAAUGGUCUAAUAUCAAUUCAAUUAUUGAUAUUAUAGUUAGAAACAUGAUUAUAAUUCAUGUUUCUAACAUCGUGAGAAGAUCUCCAUAUUCUGAUACUGAAGGCCAAGCCAUGAGCUUAUAGCUAAUUAAAUAUGAUUUUUUGUUAAUAAUUUCCACGUAUGGGACAAAUUAAAUCAUGUUAAAUCCAAUAUUAACAAUGCGAAAAAGUCAAUAAUAUAAAGCCCAUAAAAUAUAGAGAAAAUUAUCUCAAUAGAACUUGAGAUUCUCUAGGCUAGGGGUGAUAAAGUUUUGUCUAGAAUAUGACAAAAUUUUACAUUUUUCUAAAACUGGUGGGGUAGCAGAAUAGGCCAAAUUGCAUACCGAGUCUGAAAAAAAACCAAGAAAUGGAAUGCAUGGUGCCAGAAGAAACAAGAAAUCAUCUAAACUAUUGAAAGCAGAGACAGCAGAUAGGAAACACACAAGAACCCACCUUCAUCCACCACUAAAAAACAAGAUAAGACAUAACAAUUUACAUAAACAGAAGAAGGGUUACCCAGAAACAAG